rnacentral:rRNA from 1 species
UACGUAGGUGACUAGCGUUGUCCGGAUUUACUGGGCGUAAAGAGCGCGCAGGCGGUCGUUCAAGUCGAGUGUGAAAGCCCCCGGCUCAACUGGGGAGGGUCAUUCGAUACUGAUCGACUCGAAGGCAGGAGAGGGUGGUGGAAUUCCGGGUGUAGUGGUGAAAUGCGUAGAGAUCCGGAGGAACACCAGUGGCGAAAGCGGCCACCUGGACUGCACCUGACGCUGAAACGCGAAAGCUAGGGGAGCGAACGGG